UCUCUCUCUCUCUAUCUCUCUAUCUCUAGUCUCUUCUAGAGACUUCUAUCUCUUCCCCUUCUCCGAUGAGUCCUUUCAUCUCCUCCGGCGUCCUUCUCCAAUCAGAGACCAUGGAUUCCUCACCCCCUUCCACCAUUAGACCAUGGGUGUUCAAGGUUUUGAAGCAUGAUCUCGACAGUUCUCUUUCAGACCUUCUCAGAUUUUCAGUUCUAUGGCUACUUCGGCCUUUUUCGGCGUAUCCUAGGCGUUAGAAGCCUUUUCUGACCUCUUCGACUCAAGAUAAGACCUUCUUCCAAAGUCUUUCUUUCUUGUAGGGUUUCUCUGAAACCCUAAGGUGUUCGAGGUUUUUCUUUGUUUAUUUUCUUAAAUCUACGGUAUGUAUGUGUUCUACUGUGCUUCUGAAGUGUUUUUUCGAAAUUUUUCUUUUAAAAUCGUUUGUUUUCAAUAUAGGGUUUUCUAGAAAGUUUUCAAAACAUCUUUCUGACCUUUCUUUUUCUUUUUAUGUGUGUUUGUUUUUAUCAUGCUCGUGUGACUAUUUACUAUGCAUGUACUGUUCCGCUACUUUUUCUACUAUACUCACAUGUUAAUCCGUAGUAUAUUUUUCUUACUUUUCUACUAUGUGUGUUUUAUCUUUGAGUUCUUUCAUUUUGUUUGCUUUACUGGAUUCUGUUCUUGUUUUGCUAAACAUGUUUUAUCUACUUCUGCUUAAUGUUGGUAUCACUUCUUUUCCGAGCUUGUUUAAUUCCGAGCUUUUCUUAAAAACAUAUUUUUCAUGCUUUAAAUCAGUCUGCUUUCCUCGUUGUUUCAAAAUUGCUAUCACAUUUCGUUUGCUUCUCAUAGGGCUCUUAAGCAGACCUUUGAGUCUGUUUCAAUGACCUGCCUUCUCUUCUCUAUGCUUGAUUCGAUUCGAAACCCUAGGAUUUGGGGAUUUCUUCAUGUAUUUUGAUUUGGUGCUGGAGUUAGGAUUCUACUUUGGAACCCUGAACUCUCACACCCACUAUGACUCUGCAAAACAGAACUUGUAUCUCUUUUAUGAUUCUGAACUUCUCUCUUUUACAUAACUUGACAGGCUCUUCUCAAUUCAUGUUUUGUACUUUAUAUAUGAGUACUCUUUUCUAAAUAUGUUUUGCCAACUACUGAUUGAUUUUGAAUCACUUUGAUGGUGUUUACUUGAUAUUUCCGCAUUUUCCUUAAGUGAAUUUUUUACCCUUUUCUCGACUUGAUUCAUUCAAAUAAGCAUUUGAUUUUGGCUCUACUAAUUGAUUUCCUUUCCUUUUUUCUUACAAACUGUAUGCCACUAGUCUGUUGCCUUAAAUAACUUCUAUGCACUUGCCCUUUAUUAUACUACUAAUAAAAUAUUGUGUCCAUUUCCUUAAUUGUUUUACACGUUUGAUAGUUAAGCGAAUGUUUAUGUUGAUUGAUUGAAAUUAAUGCAUAGCUCCUUAAUUACUAUGAUUCCUCUCUUACUCUUUGCUUA
rnacentral:lncRNA from 1 species